AAAAUACUCCCUCCGUCCGGAAAUACUUGUCCUAGAAAUGAAUAAAAUGAAUGUAUCUAUAACUAAAAUAAGUCUAUAUACAACCAUUUCCAGGACAAGUAUUUCCGGACGGAGGAAGUACCAA
rfam:Triticum urartu cultivar G1812 contig197148, whole genome shotgun sequence.